rnacentral:rRNA from 1 species
UUAAAUUGAAGAGUUUGAUCAUGGCUCAGAUUGAACGCUGGCGGCAGGCCUAACACAUGCAAGUCGAACGGUAACAGGAAACAGCUUGCUGUUUCGCUGACGAGUGGCGGACGGGUGAGUAAUGUCUGGGAAACUGCCUGAUGGAGGGGGAUAACUACUGGAAACGGUAGCUAAUACCGCAUAACGUCGCAAGACCAAAGAGGGGGACCUUCGGGCCUCUUGCCAUCGGAUGUGCCCAGAUGGGAUUAGCUUGUUGGUGGGGUAAUGGCUCACCAAGGCGACGAUCCCUAGCUGGUCUGAGAGGAUGACCAGCCACACUGGAACUGAGACACGGUCCAGACUCCUACGGGAGGCAGCAGUGGGGAAUAUUGCACAAUGGGCGCAAGCCUGAUGCAGCCAUGCCGCGUGUAUGAAGAAGGCCUUCGGGUUGUAAAGUACUUUCAGCGGGGAGGAAGGGAGUAAAGUUAAUACCUUUGCUCAUUGACGUUACCCGCAGAAGAAGCACCGGCUAACUCCGUGCCAGCAGCCGCGGUAAUACGGAGGGUGCAAGCGUUAAUCGGAAUUACUGGGCGUAAAGCGCACGCAGGCGGUUUGUUAAGUCAGAUGUGAAAUCCCCGGGCUCAACCUGGGAACUGCAUCUGAUACUGGCAAGCUUGAGUCUCGUAGAGGGGGGUAGAAUUCCAGGUGUAGCGGUGAAAUGCGUAGAGAUCUGGAGGAAUACCGGUGGCGAAGGCGGCCCCCUGGACGAAGACUGACGCUCAGGUGCGAAAGCGUGGGGAGCAAACAGGAUUAGAUACCCUGGUAGUCCACGCCGUAAACGAUGUCGACUUGGAGGUUGUGCCCUUGAGGCGUGGCUUCCGGAGCUAACGCGUUAAGUCGACCGCCUGGGGAGUACGGCCGCAAGGUUAAAACUCAAAUGAAUUGACGGGGGCCCGCACAAGCGGUGGAGCAUGUGGUUUAAUUCGAUGCAACGCGAAGAACCUUACCUGGUCUUGACAUCCACGGAAGUUUUCAGAGAUGAGAAUGUGCCUUCGGGAACCGUGAGACAGGUGCUGCAUGGCUGUCGUCAGCUCGUGUUGUGAAAUGUUGGGUUAAGUCCCGCAACGAGCGCAACCCUUAUCCUUUGUUGCCAGCGGUCCGGCCGGGAACUCAAAGGAGACUGCCAGUGAUAAACUGGAGGAAGGUGGGGAUGACGUCAAGUCAUCAUGGCCCUUACGACCAGGGCUACACACGUGCUACAAUGGCGCAUACAAAGAGAAGCGACCUCGCGAGAGCAAGCGGACCUCAUAAAGUGCGUCGUAGUCCGGAUUGGAGUCUGCAACUCGACUCCAUGAAGUCGGAAUCGCUAGUAAUCGUGGAUCAGAAUGCCACGGUGAAUACGUUCCCGGGCCUUGUACACACCGCCCGUCACACCAUGGGAGUGGGUUGCAAAAGAAGUAGGUAGCUUAACCUUCGGGAGGGCGCUUACCACUUUGUGAUUCAUGACUGGGGUGAAGUCGUAACAAGGUAACCGUAGGGGAACCUGCGGUUGGAUCACCUCCUUACCUUAAAGAAGC